UACGUAGGGGGCUAGCGUUGUCCGGAAUCAUUGGGCGUAAAGCGCGUGUAGGCGGCCCGGUAAGUCCGCUGUGAAAGUCGGGGGCUCAACCCUCGAAUGCCGGUGGAUACUGUCGGGCUAGAGUACGGAAGAGGCGAGUGGAAUUCCUGGUGUAGCGGUGAAAUGCGCAGAUAUCAGGAGGAACACCCAUUGCGAAGGCAGCUCGCUGGGACGUUACUGACGCUGAGACGCGAAAGCCAGGGGAGCAAACGGG
rnacentral:rRNA from 1 species